rnacentral:rRNA from 1 species
GGCGAAAGCCUGAUCCAGCAAUGCCGCGUGAGUGAUGAAGGCCUUAGGGUUGUAAAGCUCUUUUACCAGGGAUGAUAAUGACAGUACCUGGAGAAUAAGCUCCGGCUAACUCCGUGCCAGCAGCCGCGGUAAUACGGAGGGAGCUAGCGUUGUUCGGAAUUACUGGGCGUAAAGCGCGCGUAGGCGGUUUUUCAAGUCAGAGGUGAAAGCCCGGGGCUCAACCCCGGAACUGCCUUUGAAACUGGAUGACUAGAAUCUUGGAGAGGCGAGUGGAAUUCCGAGUGUAGAGGUGAAAUUCGUAGAUAUUCGGAAGAACACCAGUGGCGAAGGCGACUCGCUGGACAAGUAUUGACGCUGAGGUGCGAAAGUGUGGGGAGCAAACAGGAUUAGAUACCCUGGUAGUCCACACCGUAAACGAUGAUAACUAUCUGUCCGGGCUCUUGGAGUUUGGGUGGCGCAGCUAACGCAUUAAGUUAUCCGCCUGG